rnacentral:rRNA from 1 species
AUUGAACGCUGGCGGCAUGCUUUACACAUGCAAGUCGAACGGUAACAGGUUAAGCUGACGAGUGGCGAACGGGUGAGUAAUGCAUCGGAACGAGCCCGGUCGUGGGGGAUAACGCAGCGAAAGCUGCGCUAAUACCGCAUACGAUCUAAGGAUGAAAGCGGGGGACCGUAAGGCCUCGCGCGAUCGGAGCGGCCGAGGUCUGAUUAGGUAGUUGGUGGGGUAAAGGCUCACCAAGCCAACGAUCUGUAGCUGGUCUGAGUGGACGACCAGCCACGCUGGGAAUGAGACACGGCCCAGGCUCCUACGGGAGGCAGCAGGGGGGAAUUUUGGACAAGGGGCGAAAGCCUGAUCCAGCAAUGCCGCGUGCAGGAAGAAGGCCUUCGGGUUGUAAACUGCUUUUGUACGGAGCGAAAAGGUCUCCUCUAAUACAGGGGGCUCAUGACGGUACCGUAAGAAUAAGCACCGGCUAACUACGUGCCAGCCGCCGCGGUAA